GACAGAGGGUGCAAACGUUGUUCGGAAUUACUGGGCGUAAAGGGCUCGUAGGCGGCCAACUAAGUCGGACGUGAAAUCCCCGGGCUCAACCCGGGAACUGCGUCCGAUACUGGCAGGCUUGAAUUCGGGAGAGGGAUGUGGAAUUCCAGGUGUAGCGGUGAAAUGCGUAGAUAUCUGGAGGAACACCGGUGGCGAAGGCGGCAUCCUGGACCGAUAUUGACGCUGAUGCGCGAAAGCCAGGGGAGCAAACGGG
rnacentral:rRNA from 1 species